rnacentral:rRNA from 1 species
AGGACGAACGCUGGCGGCGUGCUUAACACAUGCAAGUCGAGCGGAAAGGCCCUUCGGGGUACUCGAGCGGCGAACGGGUGAGUAACACGUGAGCAAUCUGCCCUUAGCUCCGGGAUAGCUCCGGGAAACCGGAAUUAAUUCCGGAUACGACCACAGCCGACAUCUGCUGUGGUGGAAAGGAUUCCGGCUAAGGAUGGGCUCGCGGCCUAUCAGCUAGUUGGUGGAGUAACGGCCCACCAAGGCGACGACGGGUA